UACGAAGGGGGCUAGCGUUGCUCGGAAUCACUGGGCGUAAAGCGCACGUAGGCGGAUUGCUAAUUCAGGGGUGAAAUCCUGGAGCUCAACUCCAGAACUGCCUUUGAUACUGGCGAUCUUGAGUCCGGGAGAGGUGAGUGGAACUGCGAGUGUAGAGGUGAAAUUCGUAGAUAUUCGCAAGAACACCAGUGGCGAAGGCGGCUCACUGGCCCGGUACUGACGCUGAGGUGCGAAAGCGUGGGGAGCAAACAGG
rnacentral:rRNA from 1 species